rnacentral:rRNA from 1 species
AUUGAGCGCUGGCGGCAGGCUUAACACAUGCAAGUCGAGCGGAGAUGAGGUGCUUGCACCUUAUCUUAGCGGCGGACGGGUGGGUAAUGCUUAGGAAUCAGCCUAUUAGUGGGGGACAGCAUUCUGAAAGGAAUGCUAAUACCGCAUACGUCCUACGGGAGAAAGCAGGGGAUCUUCGGACCUUGCGCUAAUAGCAGAGCCUAAGUCGGGUGAGCUAGUUGGUGGAGUAAAGUCCUACCAAGGCGACGAUCUGUAGCGGGUCUGAGAGGAUGGUCCGCCACACUGGGACUGGGACACGGCCCAGGCUCCUACGGGAGGCAGCAGUGGGGAAUAUUGGACAAUGGGGGGAACCCUGAUCCAGCCAUGCCGCGUGUGUGAAGAAGGCCUUAUGGUUGUAAAGCACUUUAAGCGAGGAGUGGGCUACUGAGACUAAUACUCUUGGAUAGUGGACGUUACUCGCAGAAUAAGCACCGGCUAACUCUGUGCCAGCAGCCGCAGUAA